CACUCCUCUAUACAGCUGUCUGGACAGACUGAUACUAUAGGCGACAAUCGCACUCCUCUAUACAGCUGUCUGGACAGACUGAUACUAUAGGCGACAAUCGCACUCCUCUAUACAGCUGUCUGGACAGACUGAUACUAUAGGUGACAAUCACACUCUUCUAUACAGCUGUCUGGACAGACUGAUACUAUAGAUGACAAUCACACUCCUCUAUACAGCUGUCUGGACAGACUGAUACUGUAGGUGACAAUCACACUCCUCUAUACAGCUGUCUGGACAGACUGAUACUAUAGGUGACAAUCACACUCCUCUAUACAGCUGUCUGGACAGACUGAUACUAUAGGUGACAAUCACACUCCUCUAUACAGCCGUCUGGACAGACUGAUACUGUAGGUGACAAUCACACUCCUCUAUACAGCUGUCUGGACAGACUGAUACUGUAGGUGACAAUCACACUCCUCUAUACAGCUGUCUGGACAGACUGAUACUAUAGGUGACAAUCACACUCCUCUAUACAGCUGUCUGGAGAGACUGAUACUAUAGGUGACAAUCACACUCCUCUAUACAGCUGUCUGGACAGACUGACACUAUCAGUGAGACACACACUCUCCACUACCCUUUUUCACACACACACACACACACACACAGU